CUUCUUCAGGAAGCUGGUUUCAUAUGGUGGUUUAGAUUUAAAUAGUGAUUGUCUAGCACCAUUUGAAAUCAGUGUUCUUGGGGGAG
ensembl:miRNA